AAUGGCUCAUUAAAUCAGUUAUCGUUUAUUUGAUAGUACCUUACUACUUGGAUAACCGUGGUAAUUCUAGAGCUAAUACAUGCUAAAAACCCCAACUUCGGAAGGGGUGUAUUUAUUAGAUAAAAAACCAAUGCCCUUCGGGGCUCCUUGGUGAUUCAUAAUAACUUCUCAGAUCGCAUAGCCUUGUGCUGGCGACGGUUCAUUCAAAUUUCUGCCCUAUCAACUUUCGAUGGUAAGGUAGUGGCUUACCAUGGUUUCAACGGGUAACGGGGAAUUAGGGUUCGAUUCCGGAGAGUUAGCCUGAGAAAUAGCUAACACAUCCAAGGAAGGCAGCAGGCGCGCAAAUUACCCAAUUCCGAUACGGAGAGGUAGUGACAAUAAAUACUGAUACAGGGCUCUUUUGGGUCUUGUAAUUGGAAUGAGUACAAUUUAAACCUCUUAACGAGGAACAAUUGGAGGGCAAGUCUGGUGCCAGCAGCCGCGGUAAUUCCAGCUCCAAUAGCGUAUAUUAAAGUUGUUGCAGUUAAAAAGCUCGUAGUUGAACCUUUGGCCUGGCUGGCAGGUCCGCCUCACCGCGUGCACUUGUCCGGCCGGGCCUUUUCUUCUGGAGAACCGCAUGCCCUUCACUGGGUGUGUUGGGGACCAGGACUUUUACUUUGAAAAAAUUAGAGUGUUCAAAGCAGGCCUUUGCUCGAAUACGUUAGCAUGGAAUAAUAAAAUAUGACGUGCGGUCCUAUUUUGUUGGUUUCUAAGACCGCCGUAAUGAUUAAUAGGGACAGUCGGGGGCAUCAGUAUUCAAUUGUCAGAGGUGAAAUUCUUGGAUUUAUUGAAGACUAACUACUGCGAAAGCAUUUGCCAAGGAUGUUUUCAUUAAUCAGUGAACGAAAGUUAGGGGAUCGAAGACGAUCAGAUACCGUCGUAGUCUUAACCAUAAACUAUGCCGACUAGGGAUCGG
rnacentral:rRNA from 1 species